AUGGCAUCAGAGAACCUACCUCAAGGUUCCACCAGACACCGUCUCCGCCAGCCCAGCAGCAGCCUCAUCUUCCCCAUGGCCUUCGUGCUCUCUCUACUGAUGGCCCUGGUGCUGGUCAGCUACGGCCCGGGAGGAUCCCUGGGCUGUGACCUGUCUCAGAACCGCGUGCUGGCUGGACAGAAUGGACUUCGCUUUCCCCCAGGAGAUGGUGGAGGGCGGCCAGCUGCAGGAGGUAAAACCACUCUUCUACACAUGCUCAAAGAUGACAGACUGGGCCAGCAUGUUCCAACAUUACAUCCAACAUCAGAAGAGCUGACAAUUGCUGGAAUGACUUUUACAACUUUUGAUCUUGGUGGGCAUGAGCAAGCACGUCGGGUUUGGAAAAAUUACCUCCCAGCAAUUAAUGGGAUUGUCUUUCUCGUGGACUGUGCAGAUCAUCCCCGACUUAUGGAAUCCAAAGUUGAGCUUAACGCUUUAAUGACAGAUGAGACAAUAUCCAAUGUGCCAAUCCUUAUCUUGGGUAACAAAAUUGACAGAACAGAUGCAAUCAGUGAAGAAAAACUCCGUGAGAUAUUUGGGCUUUAUGGACAGACCACAGGAAAGGGGAAUGUGACCCUGAAGGAGCUGAAUGCCUGCCCCAUGGAAGUGUUCAUGUGCAGUGUGCUCAAGAGGCAAGGAUACGGCGAGGGCUUCCGCUGGCUCUCCCAGUAUAUUGACUGAUGUUUGGACAGUGAAAAUAAAAGAGUUUUACUUCUCUGGA